AGACCCGAAACCCGGUGAUCUAGCCAUGGGCAGGUUGAAGGUUGGGUAACACUAACUGGAGGACCGAACCGACUAAUGUUGAAAAAUUAGCGGAUGACCUGUGGCUGGGGGUGAAAGGCCAAUCAAACCGGGAGAUAGCUGGUUCUCCCCGAAAGCUAUUUAGGUAGCGCCUCGUGAAUUCAUCUCCGGGGGUAGAGCACUGUUUCGGCUAGGGGGCCAUCCCGGCUUACCAACCCGAUGCAAACUGCGAAUACCGGAGAAUGUUAUCACGGGAGACACACGGCGGGUGCUAACGUCCGUCGUGAAGAGGGAAACAACCCAGACCGCCAGCUAAGGUCCCAAAGUCAUGGUUAAGUGGGAAACGAUGUGGGAAGGCCCAGACAGCCAGGAUGUUGGCUUAGAAGCAGCCAUCAUUUAAAGAAAGCGUAAUAGCUCACUGGUCGAGUCGGCCUGCGCGGAAGAUGUAACGGGGCUAAACCAUGCACCGAAGCUGCGGCAGCGACACUGUGUGUUGUUGGGUAGGGGAGCGUUCUGUAAGCCUGCGAAGGUGGCCUGUGAGGGUUGCUGGAGGUAUCAGAAGUGCGAAUGCUGACAUAAGUAACGAUAAAGCGGGUGAAAAGCCCGCUCGCCGGAAGACCAAGGGUUCCUGUCCAACGUUAAUCGGGGCAGGGUGAGUCGACCCCUAAGGCGAGGCCGAAAGGCGUAGUCGAUGGGAAACGGGUUAAUAUUCCCGUACUUGGUGUUACUGCGAAGGGGGGACGGAGAAGGCUAUGUUGGCCGGGCGACGGUUGUCCCGGUUUAAGUGUGUAGGUGUGUGUUCCAGGUAAAUCCGGUUCACUUUAACACUGAGGCGUGACGACGAGGCACUACGGUGCUGAAGCAACAAAUGCCCUGCUUCCAGGAAAAGCCUCUAAGCAUCAGGUAACAUCAAAUCGUACCCCAAACCGACACAGGUGGUCAGGUAGAGAAUACCAAGGCGCUUGAGAGAACUCGGGUGAAGGAACUAGGCAAAAUGGUGCCGUAACUUCGGGAGAAGGCACGCUGACACGUAGGUGAAGUGAUUUACUCAUGGAGCUGAAGUCAGUCGAAGAUACCAGCUGGCUGCAACUGUUUAUUAAAAACACAGCACUGUGCAAACACGAAAGUGGACGUAUACGGUGUGACGCCUGCCCGGUGCCGGAAGGUUAAUUGAUGGGGUCAGCGCAAGCGAAGCUCCUGAUCGAAGCCCCGGUAAACGGCGGCCGUAACUAUAACGGUCCUAAGGUAGCGAAAUUCCUUGUCGGGUAAGUUCCGACCUGCACGAAUGGCGUAAUGAUGGCCAGGCUGUCUCCACCCGAGACUCAGUGAAAUUGAACUCGCUGUGAAGAUGCAGUGUACCCGCGGCAAGACGGAAAGACCCCGUGAACCUUUACUAUAGCUUGACACUGAACAUUGAGCCUUGAUGUGUAGGAUAGGUGGGAGGCUUUGAAGUGUGGACGCCAGUCUGCAUGGAGCCGACCUUGAAAUACCACCCUUUAAUGUUUGAUGUUCUAACGUGGACCCGUUACCCGGGUUGCGGACAGUGUCUGGUGGGUAGUUUGACUGGGGCGGUCUCCUCCUAAAGAGUAACGGAGGAGCACGAAGGUUGGCUAAUCCUGGUCGGACAUCAGGAGGUUAGUGCAAUGGCAUAAGCCAGCUUGACUGCGAGCGUGACGGCGCGAGCAGGUGCGAAAGCAGGUCAUAGUGAUCCGGUGGUUCUGAAUGGAAGGGCCAUCGCUCAACGGAUAAAAGGUACUCCGGGGAUAACAGGCUGAUACCGCCCAAGAGUUCAUAUCGACGGCGGUGUUUGGCACCUCGAUGUCGGCUCAUCACAUCCUGGGGCUGAAGUAGGUCCCAAGGGUAUGGCUGUUCGCCAUUUAAAGUGGUACGCGAGCUGGGUUUAGAACGUCGUGAGACAGUUCGGUCCCUAUCUGCCGUGGGC
rnacentral:rRNA from 1 species